AUCCUUUAAGUAUAAGUGAAGUAUAUUUGCCUUCCAAGCAAAAGGGUUAAUUGAAUUUAAAAAGGAUA
rnacentral:tRNA from 1 species